GGGGGUGUAGCUCAGUGGCACAGCGUUUGCCUUGCAUGAGGCACUGGGUUCAAUCCUCAGCACCACUU
rnacentral:tRNA from 1 species